rnacentral:rRNA from 1 species
CAGUGAGGGAAUAUUGGACAAUGGCGGGAAGCUUGAUCCAGCCAUGCCGGCGUGCAGAAUGACGGGCCCUAUGGGUUGUAAACUGCUUUUAUACGGGAAAGAAAACGCACCUACGUGUAGGUGUCUGACGGUACCGUAAGAAUAAGGACCGGCUAACUCCGUGCCAGCAGCCGCGGUAAUACGGAGGGUCCGAGCGUUAUCCGGAAUCAUUGGGUUUAAAGGGUCCGUAGGCGGGCCUGUAAGUCAGGGGUAAAAGUUUGUGGCUCAACCAUAAAAUUGCCUUUGAUACUGCAGGUCUUGAGUCAUGGUGGGGUCGCCGGAACAUGUGGUGUAGCGGUGAAAUGCAUAGAUAUCACAUAGAACACCGAUCGCGAAGGCAGGUGACCAACCAUGUACUGACGCUGAUGGACGAAAGCGUGGGUAGCGAACGGGAUUAGAUACCCCGGUAGUCCACGCCGUAAACGAUGGAUACUAGCUGUGGGGACUUCGGUCUCCGUGGCCAAGCGAAAGUGAUAAGUAUCCCACCUGGGGAGUACGUUCGCAAGAAUGAAACUCAAAGGAAUUGACGGGGGCCCGCACAAGCGGUGGAGCAUGUGGUUUAAUUCGAUGAUACGCGAGGAACCUUACCAGGGCUUAAAUGCAGGCUGCAUGGGGUGGAGACACCCCUUUCUUCGGACUGCCUGCAAGGUGCUGCAUGGUUGUCGUCAGCUCGUGCCGU